rnacentral:rRNA from 1 species
AUUGAACGCUGGCGGCAGGCCUAACACAUGCAAGUCGAGCGGAGCGGCGGACGGGUGAGUAAUGCCUAGGAAUCUGCCUGGCAGUGGGGGAUAACGUCCGGAAACGGGCGCUAAUACCGCAUACUAUCAGAUGAGCCUAGGUCGGAUUAGCUAGUUGGUGGGGUAAAGGCCUACCAAGGCGACGAUCCGUAACUGGUCUGAGAGGUUGAUCAGGCACACUGGAACUGAUACACGGUCCAGACUCGUACGGGAGGCAGCAGUGGGGAAUAUUGGACAAUGGGCGAGAGCCUGAUCCAGCCAUGCCGCGUGUGUGAAGAAGGUCUUCGGAUUGUAGAAAGCUGUAAGUUGGGAGGCGGUACCAGCAGAAUAAGCACCGGCUAACUUCGUGCCAGCAGCCGCGGUAAUUC